rnacentral:rRNA from 1 species
UGGCUCAGGACGAACGCUGGCGGCGUGCUUAACACAUGCAAGUCGAACGGUGAUGUCAGAGCUUGCUCUGGCGGAUCAGUGGCGAACGGGUGAGUAACACGUGAGUAACCUGCCCCCGACUCUGGGAUAACUGCUAGAAAUGGUAGCUAAUACCGGAUAUGACGAUUGGCCGCAUGGUCUGGUCGUGGAAAGAAUUUCGGUUGGGGAUGGACUCGCGGCCUAUCAGGUUGUUGGUGAGGUAAUGGCUCACCAAGCCUACGACGGGUAGCCGGCCUGAGAGGGUGACCGGCCACACUGGGACUGAGACACGGCCCAGACUCCUACGGGAGGCAGCAGUGGGGAAUAUUGCACAAUGGGCGAAAGCCUGAUGCAGCAACGCCGCGUGAGGGAUGACGGCCUUCGGGUUGUAAACCUCUUUUAGUAGGGAAGAAGC